AUUGAACGCUGGCGGCAGGCUUAACACAUGCAAGUCGAGCGAGCGGCGGACGGGUGAGUAAUGUCUGGGAUACUGCCUGAUGGCGGGGGAUAACUACUGGCAACGGUAGCUAAUACCGCAUACCAUCAGAUGAACCCAUAUGGGAUUAGCUGGUCGGUAAGGUAACGGCUUACCUAGGCGACGAUCCCUAGCUGGUCUGAGAGGAUGAUCAGCAACACUGGGAAUGAGAGACGGCCCAGACUCCUACGGGAGGCAGCAGUGGGUAAUAUUGGACAAUGGGGGCAACACUGACGCAGCCAUGCCGCGUGAAUGAAGAAGGCCUUCGGGUUGUAAAGCACGUUCAGCGAGGAGGCGUUACUCGCAGAAGAAGCACCGGCUAACUCCGUGCCAGAAGCCGCGGUAAUUC
rnacentral:rRNA from 1 species